rnacentral:rRNA from 1 species
UACGGAGGGUGCAAGCGUUGUCCGGAUUCACUGGGUGUAAAGGGCGUGUAGGCGGACUGAAAAGUUGAAAGUGAAAGCGGGCGGCUUAACCGUCUCAAGUGCUUUCAAAACUGUCAGUCUUGAGAGUGUCAGGGGGUAUUGGAAUUCCCGGUGUAGCGGUGGAAUGCGUAGAUAUCGGGAGGAACACCAGUGGCGAAGGCGGAUACCUGGGGCACAUCUGACGCUGAGACGCGAAAGUGCGGGGAGCAAACAGG